rnacentral:rRNA from 1 species
GAGAGAGACAUGCGCGCAUAUCAAUAAGCGGAGGAAAAGAAACUAACAAGGAUUCCCUUAGUAACGGCGAGUGAAGCGGGAAGAGCUCAAAUUUGAAAUCUUCAAGGUUCUACCUUGACGAAUUGUAGUUUAUAGAAGUGUUUUCUGUUAGUGGAGUGGACAAAAGUUCUUUGGAAUAGGACAUCAUAGAGGGUGAGAAUCCCGUAUUUGGUCAUUCCUCCUAGCGUUGUGAUACACUUUCAACGAGUCGGAUUGUUUGGGAAUGCAGUCCAAAAUGGGUGGUAAAUUUCAUCUAAAGCUAAAUAUUGGCGAGAGACCGAUAGCGAACAAGUACCGUGAGGGAAAGAUGAAAGGAACUUUGAAAAGAGAGUUAAACAGUACGUGAAAUUGUCAAAAGGGAAGCGUUUGACACCAGUGUUGUUUUUCCGAAAAUCAAUUACGAAUGCUUUGUAUUUUGAGGAGUUAUGACUUCAUCGGCUUGCUCCUUUCUUUACUGAAACUUUCUUAAUGCACUUUUCGGUUAACAAGUCAACAUCAAUUUCUUUUGUUGUAAAAGGGUAUGAGGAAGGUGGCUUUCUUUUCGGAGAAAGUGUUUAUAGCCUUGUGACCUCUGCAAUCGGAGAGAUUGAGGUCUGCAGCGUAGAUCCUUCGGGGUUAGAUACAGUUUGUGCUAAGUUAUAGCUUUUCAUAGACAACUUGUUGACUAUGUUUAGUCGUGUAGCUUACUCGCUGAUGCUAUUUUACCUACGCUUAGGAUGUUGAUAGUCACAGCGUGUAC